AAAUUACUCUCGGCAACGGAUAUCUCGGCUCUCGCAUCGAUGAAGAACGUAGCGAAAUGCGAUACUUGGUGUGAAUUGCAGAAUCCCGUGAACCAUCGAGUCUUUGAACGCAAGUUGCGCCCGAAGCCAUUAGGUCGAGGGCACGCCUGCCUGGGCGU
rnacentral:rRNA from 1 species